rnacentral:tRNA from 1 species
GGGUGGAUGACUGAGAGGCUUAAAGUACCAGUUUCGAAAACUGGCGUAGAUUUUAUCUACCGCGGGUUCAAAUCCCGCUCCGCCCGCCA